rnacentral:rRNA from 1 species
GACGAACGCUGGCGGCGUGCUUAACACAUGCAAGUCGAACGGAAAGGCCCUUUCGGGGGUACUCGAGUGGCGAACGGGUGAGUAACACGUGGGUGAUCUGCCCUGCACUUCGGGAUAAGCUUGGGAAACUGGGUCUAAUACCGGAUAGGACUACGGACUGCAUGGUCUGUGGUGGAAAGCUUUUGCGGUGUGGGAUGGGCCCGCGGCCUAUCAGCUUGUUGGUGGGGCGAUGGCCUACCAAGGCGACGACGGGUAGCCGGCCUGAGAGGGUGUCCGGCCACACUGGGACUGAGAUACGGCCCAGACUCCUACGGGAGGCAGCAGUGGGGAAUAUUGCACAAUGGGCGCAAGCCUGAUGCAGCGACGCCGCGUGGGGAUGACGGCCUC